AUUGAACGCUGGCGGCAUGCCUUACACAUGCAAGUCGAACGGCAGCGGGGGAGAAGCUUGCUUUCCUGCCGGCGAGUGGCGAACGGGUGAGUAAUACCUCGGAACGUGCCCUGUAGUGGGGGAUAACUAGUCGAAAGAUUAGCUAAUACCGCAUACGACCUGAGGGUGAAAGUGGGGGACCGCAAGGCCUCAUGCUAUAGGAUCGGCCGAUGUCUGAUUAGCUAGUUGGUGGGGUAAAGGCCUACCAAGGCGACGAUCAGUGGCUGGUCUGAGAGGACGAUCAGCCUCACUGGGACUGAGACACGGCCCAGACUCCUACGGGAGGCAGCAGUGGGGAAUUUUGGACAAUGGGCGAAAGCCUGAUCCAGCAAUGCCGCGUGUGUGAAGAAGGCCUUCGGGUUGUAAAGCACUUUUGUCCGGAAAGAAAUGGCUCUGGUUAAUACCUGGGGUCGAUGACGGUACCGGAAGAAUAAGGACCGGCUAACUACGUGCCAGCCGCCGCAGUAAGAC
rnacentral:rRNA from 1 species